rnacentral:rRNA from 1 species
CACGUAGGGGGCGAGCGUUGUCCGGAUUUAUUGGGCGUAAAGAGCUCGUAGGCGGCUCAGUAAGUCAGGUGUGAAAACUCCAGGCUCAACCUGGAGACGCCACUUGAUACUGCUGUGGCUAGAGUCCGGUAGGGGAGCAUGGAAUUCCUGGUGUAGCGGUGAAAUGCGCAGAUAUCAGGAGGAACACCAAUGGCGAAGGCAGCUCGCUGGGACGUGACUGACGCUGAGACGCGAAAGCGUGGGGAGCAAACAGG